AUCCUGUAUAGUAGACUUUCUUAAUGAAUAUAUUUUAUGCGUGUGUUCGCAGACCACAAUAUAGAGCUCGACUGACACAAAUCUUCAAAUCAACCUAUUGUGGUUCCCGGAACACAAAAUAUAUUCGUUAAGAAAACCUAUAUAAAUGAAUUUUAGCCAUAACGUGGGGAAGGUAAAUCUUUACCGUGAAAAGUACUAUCAUGAUGUCUAUCCAUCUGACAAUUAUUGUGAUGCCUGGUGUAUACAGUUGCUUAAAAAAAUUUAUUCAAUAAAUUUUUAUCGACAUGUUGUUAUAUUUGUUCUUUGGAGUCUAUUUGUAAUUCUUGAUAUUUUUAAUCCAUUGCUAUAAAAAAACUAAAAACGAGAGAUGCUGGGAGCCAUAGUUAAUACAUCGGUUCC
rnacentral:lncRNA from 1 species